UACGGAGGGUGCAAGCGUUGUCCGGAAUCACUGGGUGUAAAGGGUGUGUAGGCGGGGCCACAUGUCAGAGGUGAAAGCCCCCGGCUUAACCGGGGAUCUGCCUUUGAAACUGUGGCUCUUGAGUCUCGGAGAGGUCGCUGGAAUUCGUGGUGUAGCGGUGAAAUGCGUAGAUAUCACGAGGAGCACCAGAGGCGUAGGCGGGCGACUGGACGAGAACUGACGCUGAGGCACGAAAGCGUGGGGAGCAAACAGG
rnacentral:misc_RNA from 1 species